GACGAACGCUGGCGGCGUGCUUAACACAUGCAAGUCGAACGGUAAGGCCCUUCGGGGUACACGAGUGGCGAACGGGUGAGUAACACGUGGGUGAUCUGCCCUGCACUUCGGGAUAAGCCUGGGAAACUGGGUCUAAUACCGGAUAGGACCACUGCCUGCAUGGGUGGUGGUGGAAAGCUUUUGCGGUGUGGGAUGGGCCCGCGGCCUAUCAGCUUGUUGGUGGGGUGAUGGCCUACCAAGGCGACGACGGGUAGCCGGCCUGGGAGGGUGACCGGCCACACUCGGGCUGAGAUACGGCCCAGACUACUACGGGAGGCAGCAGUGGGGAAUAUUGCACAAUGGGCGCAAGCCUGAUGCAGCGACGCCGCGUGAGGGAUGACGGCCUUCGGGUUGUAAACCUCUUUCAGCACCGACGAAGCGCAAGUGACGGUAGGUGCAGAAGAAGGACCGGCCAACUACGUGCCAGCCGCCGCCGUAA
rnacentral:rRNA from 1 species